rnacentral:rRNA from 1 species
AUUGAACGCUGGCGGCAUGCCUUACACAUGCAAGUCGAACGGUAACAGGUUAAGCUGACGAGUGGCGAACGGGUGAGUAAUAUAUCGGAACGUGCCCAGUCGUGGGGGAUAACGUAGAGAAAGCUACGCUAAUACCGCAUACGAACUACGGAUGAAAGCGGGGGAUCGCAAGACCUCGCGCGAUUGUAGCGGCCGAUAUCAGAUUAGGUUGUUGGUGAGGUAAAAGCUCACCAAGCCUGCGAUCUGUAGCUGGUCUGAGAGGACGACCAGCCACACUGGAACUGAGACACGGUCCAGACUCCUACGGGAGGCAGCAGUGGGGAAUUUUGGACAAUGGACGCAAGUCUGAUCCAGCAAUGCCGCGUGCAGGACGAAGGCCUUCGGGUUGUAAACUGCUUUUGUACGGAACGAAACGGUGAGCUCUAAUACGGUUUGCUAAUGACGGUACCGUAAGAAUAAGCACCGGCUAACUCUGUGCCAGCCGCCGCCGUAA